rnacentral:rRNA from 1 species
GCCUACGGGGGGCAGCAGUGGGGAAUAUUGCGCAAUGGGCGAAAGCCUGACGCAGCGACGCCGCGUGAGGGAUGAAGGUCUUCGGAUCGUAAACCUCUGUCAGCAGGGAAGAACGGUCACUGUGCUAAUCAGCAGUGAAUUGACGGUACCUGCAAAGGAAGCACCGGCUAACUCCGUGCCAGCAGCCGCGGUAAUACGGAGGGUGCGAGCGUUAAUCGGAAUUACUGGGCGUAAAGCGCUCGUAGGCGGUAUGUCAAGUCAAGGGUGAAAUCCCCGCGCUCAACGUGUGAACUGCCUUUGAAACU